UACGGAGGGAGCUAGCGUUGUUCGGAAUUACUGGGCGUAAAGCGCACGUAGGCGGCUAUUCAAGUCGGGGGUGAAAGCCCGGGGCUCAACCCCGGAACUGCCCUCGAAACUAGAUAGCUAGAAUCUUGGAGAGGCGAGUGGAAUUCCGAGUGUAGAGGUGAAAUUCGUAGAUAUUCGGAAGAACACCAGUGGCGAAGGCGACUCGCUGGGCAAGUAUUGACGCUGAGGUGCGAAAGCGUGGGGAGCAAACAGGG
rnacentral:rRNA from 1 species